rnacentral:sRNA from 1 species
AACCUGAAACUAAGUGAAAGGUACCUGUAAGUGAUACCCCAGUAGUUAAAUAGGGAACUUUAGGAUUGUUAAUAGAAGUGGAAGAAGAUAGGUUAAUAAAUGAGUUAGUGGAAGAUAUUGUGAAAUGAGGUUGUUGAAAAUGCUUAUUGAUUGAGGAAGUGGAUGAUAUUUGUUAAUUUAGUAUUGUUAAAUGGGGAAGUCGAACAUACCUAUUUUUUUAUGAUUGAUUAAAUGGGAACGUGGUUCAGAAUGAGGAAGUGGAAUACAUAUGUUAAAUAUACCGAUAUAAUAAUAAUAAUUUUAUUUAUAAAGCGCUGUUAACAAACAAAAUGUAGGCUCAAGGCGCUGUAAUAACAUUACAGACAUAAACACAAUGACUAACAAAUGUAAAAAAGUUUUAAACAGAUAGGUCUUAAUGUUCUUCUUUAAAGUAGUGUAGUAUGUUGUCUGUCUGAGAUCAAUGGAGAAUGAUGGUCAAAACUUGGGAUAUUUGGCUGAGAGGCCAAAACUGCUUGGGUAUGGCUUGAGCAUCCCUAAAGGAAGCACGGAAACCUUCUCACAAUUAAACAAUAUGGAAUGAGAAAAUGGAAGAUAAUUGUCAAAUGAGGAAGUGAAAGAUAUUUGUUCAAUAAGGAAGAGGAUGAUGGUGCUUGUUAAAUGAAGUUAAAUACAUUUGGCAUAUGAGAUAAUGAUUGUGGAAAUAAUUGUUACUUAUGGAUUUUUUAAAAGAAAAAUAAAGGGAAAGAUGUUUGAUACUGUUUAGUGUUAAAGUAGAAAUACUUGUCAAAUGAGUUGUGGAAUGAGAAUUGAAAAGAUAUGUUUAAGAGGAUUGUUUAAUUAGGAAGUUAAAUUUAUUUAUUACUGUAGGUACAUAAAGAUUUUUGUGUUGCUAAAUAAAGAUACUAGAUACUGUUAAAUGAGGAAGUCAAAGAUAAUUGUCAUUUAAGGAAAUGGAAGAUACCUUUUGAAUUUAAAAAGAAAAUGGAAGAUACUUGUUGAAUGAGAAAGGAAGUGAAAGCUAUUUGUUAAUUGAAGAUAGAUUUUUAAAUGAGAAAGUGGAAUAUACUUGUUACAAACUGGUAAGAAUAGUGUUGCUAAAUAAAAGGAAAGAUACAUGAUACUAUUAUUAUGAAGUGGAAGAUACUUGCCAAAUGAGAAGGGUGUGGAUAAAACUUUUUCUGAUUAGGAAAUUGAAAGAUACCUGUUCAUUGCAGAUAGUGGCUGUGAGUUUUCACUAGAAAACGCGGUAUUUGUAUUUAUUUCUAGUUCUUUCAUUAAUUAACAGGAUAAAGAGUUGCAUUUUUGUUUGGGAUCAACUUAUCUUACUUAUCUAGUUUGGUGUUGAGAUUUAGAUGUGUUGCGAUGACAUGUAAAAUAGCCAAAUCCCACAACCAUGAGGAGUUGUUCAGUUGAGGCAAUAGCUUUGAUUUCAAUCAUAAAAAUUUAAAUUUCUUGUCUCAAAUGAGUUUAGUAGUUUUCCUUUGCUUAACAAACACAUUAAUUAAGAAUUCAUAUUAAAUCUUGAAAAGUUUUAUGGUUCAAUGCCUGUGUGUGGUUCAAUGCCUGUGUGUGGUUCAAUGUCUGUGUGAUUUGAUGAAAUCUGUUGUGCUGGACACCAUCCUCAAAUAAUCCCCAGGGUUAACUUCUUGCCACUGUUUGUAAAUAAUGCAAUGAAACCAUCCAUUUGACAAAUUUUCUAAUAAUUCUUGCUGCCAGUCUGACACCCAGCCAUACUUCUGGUGCAUCAGUAGUCACUCUAUUAAUAUCCUCUAUGAUGGUUGAAAGUUAUUUAAACAGGUCUUUGCCAGUGAUGGUUCCAUGCAUGCAUCUCAUAGCAGCCAACUCUUUUUGUGAUUUCCUGUUUGCAUUGCAAGUGUUGUCAGAUAUGCAUGUGGACUUGUUAGCAGCAAUUUGAAAUGUGCUUUGUCUCUUAACCCAUUC